GGGGAUGUGUUGUUUCGAUGGGAUUUGCUCUUUAAAAACUGCAUAGCCGACGAUGGUCUCUAAGCGUCGUAAAUAUGGGACUAAAAAUAUAGAUGCAGAUUCUUCUACAUCACGCGUAGCUUCUAACUUGAAAGCACAGUGGAACGGUUUUGCCGGCUCCGUUGCAGCUGCAGUUAAGGGUCCUACGUUCGCAUACGCUGGAUAACUUUUUUUAUCUAACGUUAAACGACAUUCUAUUUUGAUUUUACAAUCGAGCUAAAUAGGGUGCCAACAAAGAUUGUAUGCGAGGAUUGCCUUUGGUCGCAGUAAUUCUCUAAGAAGCCGACCUGUGCAUCGUUUCUCUUGUCAGUAAGAUCGUUACGGUGCAAGAUGCAAUUACUGACUACGCUAUGUAGAUGUUUUUAUUUACAACUUCCAGACCCGAUUUCAUAGAUCGGCAUCUCCACAG
rnacentral:tmRNA from 1 species